rnacentral:rRNA from 1 species
GAUGAACGCUAGCGAUAGGCUUAACACAUGCAAGUCGAGGGGCAGCACAAGGUAGCUUGCUAUCUGGGUGGCGACCGGCGCACGGGUGCGUAACGCGUAUGCAACUUGCCCUAUACAGGAGGAUAACCCGUCGAAAGACGGACUAAUACUGCGUAUGCUCACAACUUGGCAUCAAGUGGUGAGGAAAGAAAUUCGGUAUAGGAUAGGCAUGCGUCCCAUUAGCUUGUUGGUGAGGUAACGGCUCACCAAGGCAACGAUGGGUAGGGGAACUGAGAGGUUUAUCCCCCACACGGGUACUGCGACCCGGACCAGACUCCUACGGGAGGCAGCAGUGAGGAAUAUUGGUCAAUGGGCGCGAGCCUGAACCAGCCAAGUCGCGUGAAGGAUGACUGUCUUAGGGAUUGUAAACUUCUUUUAUACGGGAAUAACAAGAGUCACGUGUGACUCCCUGCAUGUACCGUAUGAAUAAGCAUCGGCUAACUCCGUG